UUUGACUGAGCGGGACAGCAAGCAAAUUCUGGGUCCUUUCUUCAGCUUCCAUCAAACCCGAUCGAACCACAGAAGUGAAGGUCCUCACGUGUGUCCUUUACACGCAGAGGCUUGCUGAUCGACGACACUGUUACCAGUUCUAGGGCUGACGCACCCACCCACGCCCCCACCCCGGUGUAUCCUUUACAGCGUAUGCGUGCCAAAGGAGGAGCUGCUGGUUCCAAGAUGAGACCUUUGCUGGACACUUUGAAAGAUACACAGAGCAUUGAGAAGAAAAGGGAUCUUCUUAUCUGCUA